rnacentral:rRNA from 1 species
UGAAUACGAGAUGCUGCGGCGUCGAAGCAGUCUAUGUCAUACUUCCGAGAAAAGCUUGCACUGUCAUAAACAAAUAAUGCCUGUACCAUAACCGACACAGGUGGGUAGGUAGAGUAUACUAAGGGGCGCGAGAUAACUCUCUCUAAGGAACUCGGCAAAAUGACUCCGUAACUUCGGGAGAAGGAGUGCCUUAUUUAUAAGGUUGCAAUAACAAGGUCCAAGCAACUGUUUACCAAAAACACAGGUCUCCGCUAAGUCGUAAGACGAUGUAUGGGGGCUGACGCCUGCCCAGUGCCAGAAGGUUAAAGAAGUUGGUUAGCAUCCGCGAAGCUGAUAACUGAAGCCCUGGUGAACGGCGGCCGUAACUAUAACGGUCCUAAGGUAGCGAAAUUCCUUGUCGGGUAAGUUCCGACCCGCACGAAAGGCGUAAUGAUUUGGAUACUGUCUCGGAGAGGGGCUCGGUGAAAUAGACUUGUCUGUGAAGAUGCGGACUACCUGCACCAGGACAGAAAGACCCUAUGAAGCUUUACUGUAACCUGAAAUUGAAAUUGGACUUUACUUGCGCAGUAUAGGUGGGAGGCGUUGAGAAUAUUCUUGCGGGAUUAUUGGAGCCAUCAGUGAGAUACCACUCUUGUAAUGUUAGAUUUCUAACUUUGUAUCAUUAUCUGGUCAAAGAACAGUUUCAGGCGGGCAGUUUGACUGGGGCGGUCGCCUCCUAAACGGUAACGGAGGCGCACAAAGGUUUCCUCUGAACGGGUAGAAAUCGUAUCUAGAGUGUAAAGGCAUAAGGAAGCUUGACUGUGAGACCUACAAGUCGAGCAGGGACGAAAGUCGGUCUUAGUGAUCUGACGGUGCUGAGUGGAAAGGCCGUCACUCAACGGAUAAAAGUUACUCUAAGGAUAACAGGCUGAUCUCCCCCAAGAGUUCACAUCGACGGGGAGGUUUGGCACCUCGAUGUCGGCUCAUCGCAUCCUGGGGCGGUAGUACGUCCCAAGGGUUGGGCUGUUCGCCCAUGAAAGCGGUACGCGAGCUGGGUUCAGAACGUCGUGAGACAGUUCGGUCCAUAUCCGGUGUAGGCGUUAGAAUAUUGAGAGGAGCCUUCUUUAGUACGAGAGGACCGAGAAGGACAUACCUCUGGUGUACCAGUUAUCGUGCCAACGGUAAACGCUGGGUAGCUAUGUGUGGAGUGGAUAGCCGCUGAAAGCAUCUAAGUGGGAAGCCCACCUCAAGAUAAG